AAAACUUGGAGUCAGCAGAAAGUAAUGUUUUAAGAUAAGAAUGCUACCUAGCAAGAUUCAUGGCUUGCAGAUAUGAUUUAACCCUUGCCUUGCAUGGCCUUAGUCUUGUUUAUGAUUUGGUAUCUUAUUGCCACAGAGUCUGUUCUGUCAGUUGUAUGGUCUCUAUUUUAACACUAAUACUGGUCAGUUAUUGUGCCUAAACUCCAGAAGGAGGGGGUAUAAGAAAAGGUGUCCAACCUCCCUUCCCACUGUGGCUGGGAAUUCAGUUUUUAAGGUUUUUCUGGGGUCCCCUUUGUCAAGAAGGCAUCUGUUCAGUUGGUGGGGGACUUAGGAUUUUAUUUUUAGUUUACACUACAUUCCAAGGAAGAUUAAUGUAUUACUCCAUGAGGAGGGGCAGUGAUCUAAGAGGGUCUUGUGUUUUACAGGGAAGAAAAAGGCAGAUGUUGCAGCUGCAUGCCACGUGACUCGGGCCACAUAGCCACAUUCCUCUCAAGGCUCAGAAGAAUCUAAAGUUCCAACAGCUCUAAGUUUGAAUCAUUUCAUUUCACAAAGGGCAAGGACUUCAGAGAGUAAGACGGGGGAAGGAGGAUACAGUGUUCUCCUGGAGAGAGGUGCGGUCUGCAGGCGCAGCCUGGGAGCAUGGGGACGUGGAGGCAGACUGGAGCAGGGUCAUAAAGGAAUUCUCGGCCCUACCUCCACGUGAAAGCAGGUCGUGAGACCCUCAUUCCAGAGGGGCCUCCCCUGUACUCUGAGGCCAAGAAGAGUCAGAACAAACAUGGCUUGCCGGUCUCCCUCCAGUUUGUCACCAUCAGACCCUGCCCUCCUGUCCUCCAAUCACACUUUUGCAUGAUUGUCCAUAGAAACAGUUUUCCCUGGGUCUUUGGGUCUUCGUUUCGGAAGCCUCCUGUGUCAUGUAAAACUUAUAUUAAAACAUUUGUUAUGCUUUUCUCUUGUUAAUCUGUCUUUCAUGAUAGGAGUCUCAGCCAUGAGCCUUGCAAUGGAUAAGGAAAAGAUAUUACCUUUUCCCCACUACAGGGACUUCUGCUGGAAAAAUCCACUUUGCUAGAGCAGGCACGGGGACCGCUGAUAGGAGACAUUGCUGGAAGAUGCCAAGUGGGCGUUUCCAGAUCACUUUUCAUUUUAAUCAGUUGUCAGAGUUUAUAUUCAGGAGCCCUCCCCUCAAUAUCUGGAUUUUCAGCUUCUCUGGAAGACCGAGAAGACCUGGGCACGUGGGGCCAGCGUUUCUGAAGGCUGUGGUAGUAGACAUGGACGUGGGCACAGAUAUUUCCAAGAGGACGCCUCUGCUCCACCACAGCAGGGACGGUCCACCCACCCAAGUGAUCAGUUCUCAUCUUCGUGCUUCUUAACUAUCAGCAGCAUUAUCAGGAAAAUAAGAUAAUUCUUGCAUCCUCAUCUUACUCAAAACCAAAAAUAGGCCAGGUGCGGUGGCUCACGCCUAUAAUCCCAGCACUUUGGGAGGUCAAGGCAGUGGAUCACCUGAGGUCAGGAGUUCGAGACCAGCUUGGCCAACAUGGUGAAACCCCAUCUCUACUAAAAAUUUAAAAAUUAGCCUGGCAUGGUGGCAUGCAUCUGUAGUCCCAGCUACUCGGGAGGCUGAGACAGGAGAAUUGCUUGAACCCGGGGGAGGGGGGUGGGGGGUUGGUUGCAGUGAGCCGAGAUUGUGACACUGCACUCCAGCCUGGGUGACAGAGCAAGACUCUGUCUCAAAAAAAAAGAAAAAGAAAAAAGAAUAGACCAAGACAUGAAAUGGGGAGUUUGGAAGUGAAGUGUAUUCCUAGAUGUUUAAUAUGCAAAGCAUGCCUGUAAUUAGACUAUUUUUUUAUAACUCACUUCACUCAUUUACAGUUACUGUCUGACUCUCAGAGAUAUUUGAGUUUCCAUCCUUGGUAUCAACCUAAUAUAAGAAAAUGUUUUCCUCAGAUUUCUUUGGAAGUGAAAUGUAUUCCUAGGUGUUUAAUAGGCAAAGCAUGCCUGUAAUUAAAGACUUUUUUAAAAACUAACUUCACUCAUUUACAGUUACUGCCUGACUCUCAGAGGUAUUUGAGUUUCAUCCUCGGUGUCAAUCUAAUGUAAGAAAACGUUUUCCUUGGCUCAAAAGGGCCUACUGACACAUUAACUAAAUGCAACACAUGGAUCUUGUUUGGUGCAUGAUUCAAACAAACUAACCCUGAUAAAACAGUUUUGAGACAAUCUGUAGAGUAUAAACAUUGCCUGAGGUUUAGAUGGUAUUAAGAAAUUAUUGUUGAUUUUUUUUUUAGUGUGACAAUGGUAUUUUUGUUACCUUUUAGAAGUAUUCAUCUGUUAAAAAGAUAGGCAGUGAAAUAUUUAUAGGUGAAAAGACAUGAUUUACAGGAUUUGCUCUAAAACAUUCUGAAGAAUGUGCACUUUUGAAAAUUUUCCAUAAUAGAUGGUUUAAGAAAAACAGUGUCUACCCCCACGUGUCUAAGCGUCUGGCCCAUUAUCAUGCAAAGCAGCAUUUGGCUUCUUUUAUCUUUUGUUCUCUUUGUUACUCGGGCUAAAACUACACAUCAACGCUCCUGCAAUAUUGCUAACUUCUUUCCUUAUGCUAGAAAACUUCUUUUUGAUAGCAUAAUUCAUUUAAAUAUGUUUAGAUUAGCUGAUAGUAUUUUUAUUUAAAAUAUUUAUUUUAAAAUUGUAUAUUUG
rnacentral:lncRNA from 1 species